ACCCGUCCGACCUUUUUUCUCCCACUAUCAGCGACGUUCCUCAAUAUCAAACUAUUCAGCUCUGACAACGAGGCAACUCGCUGUGUGCGCAACAACAUGGGAUUCUCACACUCAAACACGACCUCAUUAUCACCAUUUCUCAUAAGGCAAUUGGGAUACACACAUACAACCAAAUAUCCGCUACUACUAGACAUUAUGGCUAAUUUGCGAAAAAAUAAGGUGUAGGAGAAGUAGUGAACUUGUUGUGAAGAAUAACAAUGGGUUGCACGUCCGUUUAUAGUUGCUGAAAAUUUAUCCUACGUAUUUUCUUUACACAGUAAACAAAUUAAUUUUACAUGUAUUUCGUUUACCGUGUAAACGAAUUUAUUUUACACUGUAAACGAAAUAUGAGAUGCGACGCAAUUUGGUAAAAACGUUGAAAAUUGUUUAUAUCGGUAAAUAAUAGAAUUAUUUAAUUUAUAUAAAAAAAUCCCACAAAAAUUUUUGCACAUCACACAAACUUAGUAAAAAUCAUUUAUAUAUAGCACAUAAUUUUUUGCACCUAACACAUAAAAUUUUACUGCGAAUGUAUUUUGUUAGUUGCCAAGUCAAUAUGUUUAGUAUGUUGUCUUCAAAAAAUUUUUGUACUGCGCACUAAAAUUUAUGUGCUAUGCAUAGGGGUAACACAACGGGCUGAACUCGUCGAAUCCGCCAACAAAAGCGAAAAAUGCUAUGAUUUUGAAC